rnacentral:rRNA from 1 species
ACGAAGGGGGCUAGCGUUGUUCGGAAUCACUGGGCGUAAAGCGCACGCAGGCGGAUCGUUAAGUCAGGGGUGAAAUCCCGAGGCUCAACCUCGGAACUGCCUCUGAUACUGGCGAUCUUCGAGUCCGGGAGAGGUGAGUGGAACUCCGAGUGUAGAGGUGAAAUUCGUAGAUAUUCGGAAGAACACCAGUGGCGAAGGCGGCUCACUGGCCCGGUACUGACGCUCAGGUGCGAAAGCGUGGGGAGCAAACAGGAUUAGAUACCCUGGUAGUCCACGCCGUAAACGAUGGAUGCUAGCCGUCGGUGAGCUUGCUCUUCGGUGGCGCAGCUAACGCAAUAAGCAUCCCGCCUGGGGAGUACGAUCGCAAGAUUA